rnacentral:rRNA from 1 species
CUACGGGCCGCAGCAGCGGGGAAUAUUGGACAAUGGGGGAAACCCUGAUCCAGCAAUGCCGCGUGUGUGAAGAAGGCCUGCGGGUUGUAAAGCACUUUCGGUUGGGAGGACUGCUUCUAGCACUAAUAUUGUUGGAAGUUGACGUUACCUUCAGAAGAAGCACCGGCUAACUCCGUGCCAGCAGCCGCGGUAAUACGGAGGGGUGCAAGCGUUAAUCGGAAUUACUGGGCGUAAAGCGCGCGUAGGCGGCUAGAUCAGUCGGGUGUGAAAGCCCCGGGCUUAACCUGGAAACUGCAUCCGAUACUGUCUAGCUUGAGUACAGGAGAGGAGAGUGGAAUUCCACAUGUAGCGGUGAAAUGCGUAGAUAUGUGGAGGAACACCAAUGGCGAAGGCAGCUCUCUGGCCUGAUACUGACGCUGAGGUGCGAAAGCGUGGGGAGCAAACAGGAUUAGAUACCCCCGUAGUC